AUUGAACGCUGGCGGCAGGCUUAACACAUGCAAGUCGAGCGAGCGGCGGACGGGUGAGUAAUGUCUGGGAAACUGCCUGAUGGAGGGGGAUAACUACUGGAAACGGUAGCUAAUACCGCAUACCAUCAGAUGUGCCCAGAUGGGAUUAGCUAGUGGGUGGGGUAAUGGCUCACCUAGGCGACGAUCCCUAGCUGGUCUGAGAGGAUGACCGGGGACGCUGGGGCGGGGGCGGGGUCCAGGCUCCUACGGGGGGGAGCAGUGGGGAAUAUUGCACAAUGGGCGCAAGCCUGAUGCAGCCAUGCCGCGUGUGUGAAGAAGGCCUUCGGGUUGUAAAGCACUUUCAGCGAGGAGGCGUUACUCGCAGAAGAAGCACCGGCUAACUCCGUGCCAGCAGCCGCGGUAAUAC
rnacentral:rRNA from 1 species